rnacentral:rRNA from 1 species
CGGGUGAGUAACACGUGGGCAAUCUGCCCUGCACUCUGGGACAAGCCCUGGAAACGGGGUCUAAUACCGGAUAUGACUGUCCAUCGCAUGGUGGAUGGUGUAAAGCUCCGGCGGUGCAGGAUGAGCCCGCGGCCUAUCAGCUUGUUGGUGAGGUAGUGGCUCACCAAGGCGACGACGGGUAGCCGGCCUGAGAGGGCGACCGGCCACACUGGGACUGAGACACGGCCCAGACUCCUACGGGAGGCAGCAGUGGGGAAUAUUGCACAAUGGGCGAAAGCCUGAUGCAGCGACGCCGCGUGAGGGAUGACGGCCUUCGGGUUGUAAACCUCUUUCAGCAGGGAAGAAGCGAAAGUGACGGUACCUGCAGAAGAAGCGCCGGCUAACUACGUGCCAGCAGCCGCGGUAAUACGUAGGGCGCAAGCGUUGUCCGGAAUUAUUGGGCGUAAAGAGCUCGUAGGCGGCUUGUCACGUCGGUUGUGAAAGCCCGGGGCUUAACCCCGGGUCUGCAGUCGAUACGGGCAGGCUAGAGUUCGGUAGGGGAGAUCGGAAUUCCUGGUGUAGCGGUGAAAUGCGCAGAUAUCAGGAGGAACACCGGUGGCGAAGGCGGAUCUCUGGGCCGAUACUGACGCUGAGGAGCGAAA